UUGGCCGACACAGUCGCAGUCCAGCUCGUCGGUGAAUGGGUCCGUGUCGGUGGCGAAAUGUCCGCGGGUUUUCGCUGUUGCGGUUGACGUUAGCGGUCGCGCGAUGAUGUAGCGAGAUGCCUAGGGCUCGCCAUGUGUCACGGCGAUUGUGUGCCGACCGCGUGUAGUGCCGUAGACCGUGCUACGAUGGCCUCGGACCCAGCGCUGCCCGACUUGUCGCACCUCACACCCGAGGAAAGGCAGAUCAUCGAGAACGUUAUGCUGCGGCAGAAACAGGAGGAGGAGCGCGAGCUGGAGAUCAUGAGGCGGAAGCAGGACGAAGUAGAAGUCCUGGAGGAGACGAUCCGGCAGCGUUCUGAGCAACAGAAGAAGGCGGGGGUUGAGCUAGACGCUACUUGUCACAUCUGCCUCAAGACCAAGUUCGCGGACGGCGUCGGUCACAUGUGCAACUACUGCAACAUCCGAUGUUGCGCAAGAUGUGGCGGCAAAGUCACUCUGCGCUCCAACAAGGUGAUCUGGGUGUGCAUCCUCUGCCGCAAGAAGCAAGAGCUGUUGAGCAAGACGGGUCAGUGGAUCAACAAGGGAAUGUCAGCUGGCGACCCGAUCAUGCGGCGUAUCGAGGCGGAUCUGCAGCAACAAGACAAGCGGCCCAAGCUGGAGCGAGCGCACUCUGCCGCGGAGAAGGAGAACCAACCGUUGCUGCAGCGGUCUGGCUCGCAGCUGAGGCGACAAUACAGUCAGCAAGACGCCAGCCGCGAGGAAGAGGCGCGAUACUACCGCGGAGAACUAGAGGGUCUGAUGAGAUCACACCAGUACGCGACGAUGACGGGCGGCCGCGGAGAGUUGAGGAACGACUCGCUCAGCUCCGAGCAAUCUUCCAGCAUGGACUGUGCGCCCGCGCCCGCUAGUCGUGGCGGAGCCAUCACCGUGCUGGUAACCGGCAAGAAACACAAGAGGACCGGGUCCGCGAAAAAACAAUCCGGGAGUGGAAGUGGGAGUGCGCGCGGGUACCAUCAGACGCCGCAACCGCCCCAGAGAUCGUUCUCUAGCUCGGACGACGAACUGAGGUCCACCCCCGACUGUACGAGCUGCGAGGAACACGACAGUGAGAAAGUCGUCAACGGGUGGCACCCAAGGGACACCCCUCGGGAGGUCAAAGUCACCCUUAUCGACACCCGAAGACGCAAGAAGACAGUCAGGUUCGACGGUCCUCAAACCAAGGACUCGGGCAUUGACACAUCCAGCACGUUCACAUCCAGUGAGGAUUCGAACAGCGCGCCCAAGCAUCCGUUGUCAUGGCAAAUAUCCAAGGACAAUACUCGAAUGACUGGUCACAUGAUCCUGAAGAAGACCCAGCGUGCAGAUGGUGGAGGGCCGUCCUCUUCCACGAGUAUCCUAGGGCUGAAGGUGGUGGGAGGACAACUUCUACCAGGGGGCGGCCGGGGUGCAAUAAUUGAGAAGGUCAAGAAAGGCAGCACGGCGGACAAAGAGGGGCAGCUCAGGCCAGGUGACGAGGUUGUCGAGUGGAACGGGCGAUCGUUGCAAGGCAAGAGCUACCAGGAAGUUACCGACAUUAUUGCCGAGUCCAAGCAAGAGCCGCAGGUGGAGCUGAUAGUGACUCGGCUGCUGCCCAACAGACGUGGCCGCGGCCAAUAUCCCCCCUCCCCCACCACCUCCCACAAAGACACCUACGAAGGCGGAGGUCGCAAAGACAAGCCGAGUGUGUUGGUCACUUCCCCCGGGUCACCGGAGCUACAUGCCUCCUCCAGGUCACACCGCAUGCCUGCCUUUACCAACAGCAGCGUCGGCGGCCGCAUACAGGUGAAGCUGUGGUUUGACUCAGGUGCGCUACAGCUGGUAGUGACACUAGUGUGUGCGGCUGGUCUGAUGCCCCGGAGUAACGGACAGCCUCGCAACCCCUACGCCAAACUCUUCCUCCUACCUGAUAGAAGUGAAAAAUCUAAAAGAAGAACAAAAACAUUAGCAAAUACAAACGACCCAAAGUGGAAUCAGAGUUUUGUCUACUCGUCGAUCAGAAGAGCGGAUUUGAAACUCAGAAUAGUAGAGAUCACGGUGUGGGACUAUGUGCACUAUGGGACCAACCAUUUCCUGGGAGAGGUUAUGGUAGAACUGAGUGUGGCGCUUCUGGACAACGAACCUGAGUGGUUUCAUCUCAGUCCACACGAAGAAGUUCUAAUACCACAUGCGGUUGAGGAUGUUGACAUUGCUCUGACGCCCACUGACCACCUAUCGCCACCAAGCACGACGUCACGCCUCUCGGACUCCGACCCCUCUGACCUGGACGACACACGGGAGAGGAGAGUAGCGGACGGAGCCUCUGUCAGCAGUCUCGGUAGCUCUGCCAGCCCUCCUCCUGACGUAGAGAUGGCAGAGAGACAUCGGUCACGUCGAGACAUGUCGCCGCAAGGGAGAAAACGAGCCACCGUCGUUCAAGUCAAACCUCACACACUCCCCUACGACUCACAAAGAAGAGGAGGCAGUAAUCAGAGAUCACACUCUGCUGCACCUCCUCUCGAAGGUCGGUCUCGCUCUAAGAGUCCUCACCGCAGCCUAUCACCUCCUGAGUAUCGAGUAUACCAGCCGAAUGUAGUGCUUCCAUCCCACGCGUAUGUGCCUCGCUUUUCCUCCAGAUCAGCCACCGCUACCCCGAUGACGUCUCCCAAGAAACGUCAACUGCCUCAGAUACCCCACACAGCAAUGCUCAGAGAAGCUCUCCGCGAGAGAGUCACACAGCAGGACAUGGAGGAGCGAGCACAUCUCAUGAAGCAGAGAAUGAGACAGAUGCAGUCUAGAGGGUCAGCGGGAUACACAGGGAGCAUGUCGAGGCACUUCACCGGCCUGUCUGACAGCGACCUGCCGUCGUCUGACAUGGACAGGCCGUGGGGUGGCCACAUCCCCGGCCGCACGAUGACUUCACUGGACAAGGAUAUCAUCGGGACGACGGACCUGGGCGAUAGCGACCUUGAGAGUGUCGUCAGCAUCACUAGCAGUGCCUUCUCUACACAGAGCGAGCGACCUCGCGGCUCACGGGGCUUCAGCGACUACGGAGAGCGAUCUCACACGACGGUACAGCCGCCACCACAAGGGGGACACAACAAGAGGCCGCCGUUCUCUAGAAGUCUCUCGAACGCGGACGUCCAACCAGACGAACGUGGUGACGGAAGUCUAAGUGACACAGCCGUCAGUCAUCAUCACCAUAUCAACGGGUCUCGCCGCAAAGCAGCGUCGGGCAGCGGCUCUGGCACGACGAGCGGCAAACAGUCGCACAGUCAAGGCAUGGGCAAGAAGAGCAACUCUACCAGCCAACUGUCGGCCACAGGCCGCAAACGUAGGUUAGGUUUCGGAACAAAAGGCAAAUCGUCGUUCACCGUUCAUCGGUCCGAAGAGGUGCUGCCCGACGAAGUGCGACAUUUGAUCAAGCAGGGUUCAUCUGUGUCGAGCGACGGGGAGGGCUCGCAGGACGGAGACAGUUGGGCGCCAUCACUCAAAGGUUCAGACGGAGGUCCUCUGUCGGACUUUAUCGAGGGGCUAGGCCCUGGACAGCUGGUGGGCCGGCAAGUCCUGGGGGCUCCGUCCUUGGGCGACAUUCAGCUCAGCAUGUGCUACCAGAAGGGAUAUCUGGAGGUGGAGGUGAUACGAGCGCGAGGGCUGCAAUCCAGACAGGGCUCUAAAGUGUUACCAGCGCCUUAUGUGAAAGUGUACCUUGUAAGUGGGAAGAAAUGUUUGGCGAAAGCGAAAACAGCGACAGCCAGACGAACUUUGGAUCCUCUUUACCAGCAAACACUUACCUUCAGGGAACCUUUUCAAGGCUGCAUACUGCAGGUUACAGUGUGGGGCGACUAUGGCCGUAUUGAAGGCAAGAAAGUGUUCAUGGGAGUCGCCCAAAUCAUGCUCGACGACCUCAACUUAUCAAAUAUUGUGAUCGGCUGGUACAAAUUGUUUGGGACCACAUCCUUGGUUAGUGGGCCCCCUUCGCUGGGCCUCUCUCGACGCAGCUCCCUUGCUAGUCUUGACUCCAUUAAGUUAUAGUCCUCCCCACCCUUGUAGAUAACUCCUCCGUUUUACGUUCUCUUUUAGUUUUUCCUAUGAUUUUCUCCGUUUACUUUUCAUCUUCCACACUUUCCUGGUCCGUGGCAAUAAAGUAGUGACGAGUGAAAAGUUUUGAAUUGCUCCUUUAAAAUUGUCAGCUUAAGACGAGAUUUAUAGUUUGCGAGAGCUUUUGUAUUAACGAGAUUUAAAAUAUUAAAAUAUAAAUAAUCGCUACAUCCCUAGAUAUGAGUUUUCAGAAAAAACUGUAUUUGUACAAAAAGGGAUAUAUUCGAACCUGCAGUGCUUCUUGACUACUUUAUAGUCAGUCCUGUCCUACAUAUCAUGUGAAUGAAAAUAUUUUUCACUUUUCUACUUUUUUCUUAGCUUUAGUUUGUCUGUUUAGUUGUAGACCAUCACCGGGCUUCUUCAGCUGACCUAGUGAGUGUUUCGCUUACGUGUGACUCCAAAGAACGUUAGUGUGGUGCUAUAAGUGCGUUUGUUGGUUUGUGGCGGUCAAUGCUCAUUUUUUUACAUUUGACAAAUAUAAUUUAAAAUUUCUAUUACCAUUUUACCUUUAGGUAAAAUAUAUAAAUAUAUAUAUAUAAGUAAAUAUAUAUAUAUGAAAUUAUACUACGAGAUUCAGCAGCACACGGUGUCUCGUCACGUUGUACAGAUAGGUUCUAAGUUAUAAGCGAUGUUGUGUACCAUUCUGUUCCAUGUUCUAUGCGAUAUUGUCGUGGGAUGUUGUAGACGAGGCCAUUUACUCCCCUAAGGUGGAGCGCUUGUUGAAAGUUGUAUGAUUUUUGUGCUUUCUUUCUUGUCUUAUCGAGCUUGAUGAUUUUAGCUCACUCUGGCGGAGCAGGUAUUUUUUGUAGGCUUCCCUCCGACUCUUGUUAUCCGUACGAAGUUAAGUCAAAGUAGAAUAUAGACUAGCUACUUAUGUAAAACAUGUGCAAAUUUUUAAGGACAUUUUUAUACGCUAUGUUAAGUUGUAUUUGGAAUUGUACAAAUUUAUGAAAUAAUAAUUGUACAUAUUUCUGUUUAUCAAGCCGAUCUGUUUGUAUCGUAAUAUUUUCUUCAUUAGUAGCACAACAAUUUAUUUGUGAGAUUGACAAACGACCUGACAGAUAAAAGCUAUUUAUUACAGAUAGAUUUCAGUGCUGGUAACGUUAAUGGUUUGUUUGAAAAGCUUUAAUUAAAUCUACCACAAAGUACUAUGAAAAAUAAUUUUUAAAUACUAUUGUAUAACUGAAAUAAUUUGUUUUAGUUCAAGAAUACUUAAAUGCAAAAUUAUUUUUUAUCAUAAGUACCUAUGUUAUAACCAUAUUGCUAGUUAUGAAAGGACUCUUAUGGUAUUUAUAGAUAGCGGAAAAAUUAACAUAAGAAUUAUGAUGGUUUAACCUAAACAAAAGAAAAUGUAUCAAAUAUAGUUGAUAAGUAAUGUCUUGUGACAUUUUGGUUUCUGUGAAACCACUAAACACAUACAAGUAAGAGCUAAACAAAGUCCUUUAGGAAAUAUUGAAUAAAGCUUCAACAUAUUUUUAAAUAAUUGAUGUACCUAUUUUGUUUGUAAGUGAUAAGAGCGAAUAUAUUUCCAAUUUGUAAUUUAGUGUUUUCUGGUUAGCAGAGUUAAUAGAAAAAAUAACUUAAAAUUUUUAAUACAGUAGUUUAACAUUAAAUCAUAUAAAAGUGAAAAUCCCUGAUUUUGAGAAUGUUAUUUGUAGGUCAGUUAUUUAUUUAUUUUUAUUUCUUACAAUUUAUAAUAAUUUAUUGCACUUCCACUCACUUGUGUACUAAUUUAUAAUUUCUUUUACUCCAUGAAGUAUUUCCUUUUACACUUUGUGAAUGAAUCAUUGCUACCCCAUAUUGCUGAAAUGUGCCUUUUUAGAUAACCUCUCAUUGUUUCCUUUAUGUAUUGCACAUAAUUUGAAUGUUAGAAUUUGUCACUGGAUGCUUUUACAACAUUACCAUAAGGUAUUGAAAGUUUGUUUGAUUUGCGUUGUUACAUCUGCAAAGCUAUCUUAGAAUAUGUAAAAAAACAUAACUUUAAACCAUGUUUGCUGACCUUUGUAACUCGCAGACAUUUUUAUAACUGCAAUAUUUAACUUUACGAUUAUUUUUACAGUAAGGAAACAUGUAUAAUGAUUGUACACUAUAGCAAAGCUAAAAAAUAAUUUCUCGGAUCAAAGCUAACAAUAAAGAGUAAACAUGGCUAGACAUCGUCAAAAAUUAUUAUCAUUUAGUAUAACUUUAGGAAAACUCAACUUAUCUUUUAUACAUAUACAAUUUUCAUAUUUGAAAGUCCCAAGCAGCUUUGAAAUAUUUCUUACAAAACAAAAGAUUAAAUCACAAAAUAUCAAUAUAAUGACUCAUAGUUAAUUUAAUUCAAUGAAGUGAUCUAUAUUGAUGUGACUUAAAACAAGUGAAGAAGUAUUUUUACAAAACCUAGAUUACAUUUUGUAUUUUUUUUACAAAAGUGUUUCUUACUACUAAAAUAAACAACGUAUCGUUUACAAAUCCAGUGAUCUUUUAACAUUCAGUGCAUCGCGGCCGGAGUUUUUAUAUACAUGACAAUAACAAAAUGUUUAAAAGCACAGUUUCAAUCCUAGUCACGUUCUUCAUUAGCUUGUGAAAUUCAAAUUUAGGCUUUUCGUUUGCCUCUAAAUUAAGUAGCGAUAUUUUUAAGGUAGUCGAAAAUAGUCUAUGAAUUUGGCUUGUAAAUAUCUUUCGGGUUUAGAGAUUGUGCUCAAAGGGAUAUUUUUGUUAGUGAUAGCAGGGUGGUGAUCUGUAUCCAUAUCAUGCAGAGUGUGCGGGCACCGUGUGCUGCUGAGCUCUAAUGAGGGCGACAAUACAAGGUCUUAGCUCUGCUGUACUCUAGUAUGUAUAAAGGCAUUUAUAAGUAUUCAACUAAAUAA